CUACUCCUCUAUUGUCAAAGGAGAGGGGCACAUCCAAAUAUCUUCUCUGGAUUUACACCAUUUCACACACCUCUGCACUGAUUCACAGUGAGCUUCUCCCCUUC